rnacentral:lncRNA from 1 species
UAAUCUCUAACUGAACCAAAUAACAAAAGCUUAAGCUUAAGCAUCCACACACACAGAAAAUGCAAAACAAAUCUCACAUAAAAUUGUCCCAAGUCAGAUACAUGGGAAACCAAGGUGAGAUGCUCAUGUUUCUUAUAGGAAACAAUAACCAUAGGUAAAUACAUACAUUAUUGUCCUGUCCGAAGGUACUUAGUUGUACUUCAAGUGGUACUGGGACAUGAAACUAAGCCAUUGAAAUUUUUGUAACAGAAUAGAUGGUAACACCAAUGUAGGCCAUGAACAAAAAUACAAAGAAGAACAUAAUCAAGCAUAAGCCACCUCGACCGAAGCAACGGUUGAUCAACAGCAGGAACCUGAACCUCGUGAUGCUAGACCAUAUAUCUAUGGUUACCCUUUUUAUUUCUCCCGCCUAACCUGAAGUAGUUAUCUGGACAAAAUAGGGAGGCACACUUCAACAAAUCAGUUCUUAGUAAUUAUAGAAUGCCCUGUAUUAAAGGAAGUAAAAUCAAGCAUGUAUGUGCUCUAACUUUCAUAACUGCAUGUAAACUCAGCAACUAAC